UACGUAGGGGGCUAGCGUUAUCCGGAAUUACUGGGCGUAAAGGGUGCGUAGGCGGUCUUUAAAGCCAGAAGUGAAAGGCUACGGCUCAACCGUAGUAAGCUUUUGGAACUGUAAGACUUGAGUGCAGGAGAGGAGAAUGGAAUUCCUAGUGUAGCGGUGAAAUGCGUAGAGAUUAGGAAGAACACCAGUGGCGAAGGCGAUUCUCUGGACUGUAACUGACGCUGAGGCUCGAAAGCGUGGGGAGCAAACAGGAUUAGAUACCCUGGUAGUCCCUGA
rnacentral:rRNA from 1 species